CGAGUUAAGAGAGCGUCCACGUCGGACCUGUGUUUCUGGUCAUAUUUGGUCGCUUGGACGAGAACACCUUGCCCCGAUCUAGCCUGAAGCAAUCCCACAGAAGGAAAGACAGACUCAACAAUCAAGAGCGUAUCAUUGUGAUCGGAUUUCAUAGAACACAGAGUCUUUUCUGGCAUUUCAAAACAUGAAAAUUCUAUAAUGCCAACCGGAGCUCAGCCAGUCCUGCUGCUAAGACAAGAGAUCUUUGAAUGAUGUGAAGGUGUAGGACCAUCCCAUUAACUGACGAGGAACAGUCUGGUCUUGGGUCAAGUCAGACAAGAUCUAAAUAAAGUCUUCAGACGUAUCCCCUGGUACAAGGACAACCCUCUCUCGUGAAGGAUGAAUGGGUCGGGUUCAUUUAUCUCUAAUCAGUUCCUUGCUGCAGUUGCUGCAGGAAGCAAUUCAGUUAAUGCAUUUUAAAUUACUUUUCUUGUGUUUAUAUUUGUUUACUUUUAAGAAGUCAUGUCUUUAGUGAUCGAUGAUCGUUUUGAUAAUGCAGAAACGAUAAAUGUUCUACACAUGUCA